UACGUAGGGGGCGAGCGUUGUCCGGAUUUAUUGGGCGUAAAACGCUCGUAGGUGGCCACGUCAAGUCGGAUGUGAAAUAUCCCGGCUCAACUGGGAGGGGUCAUUCGAUACUGGCGGGCUCGAGGCCGGUAGGGGGUAGCGGAAUUCCGGGUGUAGUGGUGGAAUGCGUAGAUAUCCGGAGGAACACCAGUGGCGAAGGCGGCUACCUGGACCGGUUCUGACACUGAGGAGCGAAAGCGUGGGGAGCGAUCCGG
rnacentral:rRNA from 1 species